UACGUAGGGACCAAGCGUUGUUCGGAUUUACUGGGCGUAAAGGGCGCGUAGGCGGCAAUUCAAGUCAUCUGUGAAAUCUCCGGGCUUAACCCGGAACGGUCAGAUGAUACUGCUUUGCUAGAGUGCGGAACGGGCAAUCGGAAUUCUUGGUGUAGCGGUGAAAUGCGUAGAUAUCAAGAGGAACACCUGAGGUGAAGACGGGUUGCUGGGCCGACACUGACGCUGAUAGCGCGAAAGCCAGGGGAGCAAACGGG
rnacentral:rRNA from 1 species